AGCCAAUAAUUCAAACGACCAUAUACAGCAGGUAAACCAAGAAUUUCCACCCACCUUUACACAAAACUACGCAUGUCAUGAAACAGAUCAGCAACAUGUGAUUGUUCCAGAAACCAACAUUCCAUUGAAUGAAAUAGAUCUUGAUGAGCUGCAAAGAACCAUUAAUCCUUUAAGGCCUUCUAAUCAUAAUGGUGCUGACAUAUACAUUGAGGUGCUUCAGUUUAUAAAUACCAGACUGCACCAGGAAGACGAGUGACAUUGUGAACUCACAAAACAAGAAAAGCUACUUGACCUAUUGUUCAUUGGUGUCAAUUCAGAUAAUAAAAAAGAAGAUAUGUAUGGCAACGAAGGCUAUAAAUUUUGCAUUAUGUUGAUUAUUUCAACAUUUUAGCAGAAAAUGUUUUUUAGCACAUAAAUGCUGAUGCACUGACAUAACAAAAUUUAAUGAAACAUUAACAUAUUCACUUUAAGUCUUUAACUAUAAAAAUGAUAUCCAAA